rnacentral:rRNA from 1 species
UACGUAGGGGGCAAGCGUUGUCCGGAAUCAUUGGGCGUAAAGAGCGUGUAGGCGGCCCGAUAAGUCCGCUGUGAAAGUCCAGGGCUCAACCCUGGGAUGCCGGUGGAUACUGUCGGGCUCGAGUCCGGAAGAGGAGUGUGGAAUUCCUGGUGUAGCGGUGAAAUGCGUAGAUAUCAGGAGGAAUACCGGUGGCGAAAGCGACUCUCUGGACGGCAACUGACGCUGAGGCACGAAAGCGUGGGGAGCAAACAGG